rnacentral:lncRNA from 1 species
UUGAAGACUGCUUUCACUACUUAGGGAGUUUACAAGUUUGCCCUGCAUUUGGCCAGGAACUUGUAGUUUAGAAGUUCUCUCUGGUCAGUCCUCUGAGAUGGCAGCCUUCAGCAUGCAGUCUUCCUGAUCACAAGGGAUGUCUGUAGCUUUAUCUAGGUUCUUUGUCUCUUUCCCUGAUCCUUUUUUUUUUUGAGACACUCUUGCUCUGUCGCCUAGGCUGGAGUGCAGCGGCGCGAUCUCGGCUCACUGCAAGUUCCGCCUCCCGGGUUCACGCCAUCCUCCUGCCUCAGCCUCUCAAGUAGCUGGGGCUACAGAUGCACGCUGCCACGCCUGGCUAUUUUUUUGUAUUUUUAGUAGAGACGCAGUUUCACCGUGUUAGCCAGGAUGGUCUCGGUCUCCUGACCUUGUGAUCCGCCCGCCUCAGCUUCCCAGAGUGCUGGGAUUACAGGCGUGAGCCACCGCGCCUGGCCUCCCUCAUCCUUUCUUUAAGCUUCUGGUUAUCUAUUGGAAUGACCUGGCAACUGUUUAACCUCCACUGUUACUGAUUGCUCUACUGUUUUCUACAAUACUCUGAAGUCUGUUACAAAUAAAGUCAGGCCCUGUGACAGUUAAUUUUCAGUGUCAACUUGAAUGCAUUAAGGAAUACCUAGAGAACUGGUAAAACAUUAUUUCUGGUUGUGUCUGUGAGGGUGUUUUCAGAGACUGGCAUGUGAGCCAUUAGACUGAAUGGGGAAGAUUUGCCCACAAUGUGAUUGAGGCACAAUCCAAACAGCUAGGAGCCUGGACAGAAGGAAAAGAGAAAAAGCUAAUUCUCUCUCCACUAACCUCCUCCCCCCCACACCUAAACCUAUACCCCAGGAGCUGAGACAGCUUUAUUCUCAUGCCCUUGGACAUCAGAACUCCAGGCUUUCAGGCCUUUGGAUUCGAGGACUUACACCCGUGGCCCCUUGGUUCUCAGGCCUUCUACCUCAGUCUGAGAGUUACACCAUCAGUUUUCCUGGUUCUGAGGCUUCUGGACUUCGACUGAGUCAUGCUACCACCAUCACUACGUCUCUAGCUUGCAGACAGCCUAGUGUGGGACUUCCUAGCCUCCAUAAUUACGUAACCUAAUUCCCUCAAGACUUGCCCUCUUAUAUUGGUUUCGUAUCUCUGAAAAACCCUAAUUCAGGCCUCUUGUAAUGAUGUCAGUUUUUGAAGCUUACUCCAACCCCCCACUGAACAGAACCUCUGUACCUUUAUGCUAUGGAACAGCUGGAGGAUAGAAGGAAUGGUAAAUCAGCUCUUUCUGCCAAGCGGGUACAUUUAGUCUUCCACUCAGAAAUACUAUGUUAUCUCCCAGUUACAUCUUACAGGUUUGGUUUGGUGUCUGGUUUUUUUUCUUUUUUGGUUGUUGUUUUUUGGCAGGCUUGUAUUAUUUUGUGCCUCUUAUUAUAUACACGGGUCUUACUGGCUGGGCGUGGUGGCUCACGCCUAUAAUCCCAGCACUUUGGGAGGCCAAGGCAGGUGGAUCACUUGAGGUCCGGAGUUCAAGACCAGCCUAGCCAACAUGAUGAAACCCCAUCACUACUAAAAAUAUGAAAAUUAGCUGGGCAUCAUGGUGGACACCUGUAAUCCCACUACAGGAGCGGCACUUGAACCCGGGAGGCAGAGGCUGCAGUGAGCCAAGACUGCACCACUGCGCUCCAGCCUGGGGAACAGAGUGAGACUCUAUCUCGAAAAAUAAAUAAAUGGGUCUUCUUUUAUUGUUUCCCAGUUGAUUACUGUUAAUUGUUCAGGAAAGUAACUAAUUUUCAGUGUACUCCUUUAAACUUUAAAGAUAUUAAAAGCAAGUCAUCAACAAGAGUAUUUUGGUCUCUCUCCCAAAUUUAACUUUCAUUUUGCUUUCCAUUCUUUGACAUUAGCAAUAGCUUAUGAUGUAAUUGAUGAUCGCAGGCAACAUUUCGCUCCUUAAUUGAAAGAUGUAUUUCAAGAGUUGCCACACAAACAUAACCCUCACUUUUGGUUUAAGCACUUUAAAGUAUAUGGAAAAAUUCUUAUUUUAACACAUUAGAAAUGUCUUUACUAGGAAUAAGUAUUUAAAUUAAGCACAUUCUUGGCAUCUCCUAAAUUCAUGACUUCUAAAAUUGAUGUACAUUAUAUUUUUUCCACACUAUUUACUUGAAAGUUUCCACUCUUGUAACAAUUAUUCUUGUUUUAAAAAGAUUCCUAAAUUUGGAGGCAUUAACAGAAGCUUUGUUAAACUAGUCAAAAAGCACCUCAAAGAUGACUUCAUGAAAUACUUCCUCCAAGAUACUAAUUACUUCUCAAUUCUCCAGUUAUUAAGAGAGGCAUACAUAAAUUAAUAAACAUCAAACUCAACCAUUUCAACUCUCCAUUAUAGGGAAAAGUUUCCACUAAUGCCAUACUCUGCUAUUUAGCGACAAAUACCACCCUGAAAAAUCCCCCCAGUAAGUUUUGCUAGAUGACAUCCCCAAUGGGUCAAGUAGUUAGCUGAGAGCAAGGAUCCUAACAAGUUGCUAAGGCAAAGAACAGAGCCAAUGCCCCAACUGGGUCUGUUAAGAAGGUUAAGGAAGUAGAUGUCAAUGGUGAAAACGAAUCUUAUUUUUAAAAAAUCAAGAUAAGCUGUAUGGAAUUAAUAUAUAAUAUUCUGUUUUUAAUUCACCUUCAUUUUCUCCCAUCCCAAGAACUUCUAUUACUUUUUCUUAACAGCUAUUUCAGAUCACUAAAAGAAUAUCUAAGUCCUUUUCCCAUCUAACCUGGACAUAAAUUCUCACAGCAUUUCUGCUCUAUCUCAUUUUUAAUCCCUUCAUAAGUUGCACUACUCUUAGCACACAAAUGACCUAUUUUACCCACUAACCAUUUUCAUUAUAUUUACAGUCUCUUUGUUGUUAUACAAGUACAUCCAUACUAGAAACUUUACAUACAUACAUUUCAGUUCGUACUUUGUAGCUCUUUUACACAGGUGAGGUACAUCACGAAACUUAUCAAGCUUGUGUUUUUUAAACAAAAAUCCCAUUCUGAAAGCAGACUCUAGGGAAUUCAAGCAACAGUUAGUAAACUAUGUCUGGUAGGCCAAAUUCAGCCCACUUCCUGUUUUUGUAAAUUGUUUUAUUAAAACAUAGCCACACUAAUUCAUUUAUAUAUUGUCUAUGGUUUUUUCUGCAUUAUGAGAAUUGAGUAGUUAGGACAGAAACUAGAAGGCCUACGAAGCUUAUUUAUCUGACCCUUUAUUGAAAAAAUUUGCUAACCCCUCAAUGAAAAUAUUUUCCAUUAAAAAAACUAUUACAUUUCAAUUUGUGUUACUGAAUACUUAGCAAGAUAAAUUCUUUGAAAAGUGAAUUAUGUUUUUUAAGUACUUGCCAAAUAGUGAGAAACCCAUUUCAGUGGAGAUGGACUGGAAAAAAUAAAACAAAUUCCUCACCCAGAAAUUCAACUGCAAAACUAAAACUAACUCUUCAAUUGUAAUAAGAACCUCGAACUACUGAAUAUCAUAUUUUGGAAAGCCCUCUUUGGAAAGCCACACAAAAAAAUAAAGGAUACAGGCUUUUGUUCUGAAUUUUCUGCAAUGGCAAUAAUGAAGCUCUAAGCAGGUUUGCCUCCCUCAGAAUAACCUAAGUUAACAAAAUCAGAAAAAGUUCCAACUAGAAUAUCUGGAGCACAAAGCUUACUUUAAAUGGCUGUUAAAACUUUAAGGCAAGAAGUACGUAUCUCGACAUUUUCCUGAAAUGGCUAUUCUGAAAUGUAAUUUUAUAGUGCUGCAAAUAUUAGCAGGAAAGUUCCCUCUCUCUCCUUGCUAUUUACAGCAGGUGAUGCCUCAUAACAGAUCUAUAUGUGACAAACAGGGCAUUUUAAUUUUAUUGCUGUUAGGAUACUGAAGUCUAUAAGCCUCUCUAUGGCUUACCUUGCCAGCAUAAUGAUAGUAAAAUUAUGGUAUAUGUUACCUUUCUUAAACAAUAUAUCAUCUAUGAUUAUGGGAAGAAAAAAAAUCCCACACUUUAUCUAUCUUGUAUAGUUAACUAGCAUUGAAAAAACACAUCACUUUAAAAUCUGUAUUUCCUAAAGAACAAAAUUUCCAUUAGAUUUUAGCACAGUAAAAAAAUUCUUGUGUAAACACAAACUUAAGAUAAAUUUAAUUGAAAAUGUUCAUUACAGAAAUUAACAAUGCUUACCAUUCUUUAAACACCAUAUACAUUAUUAAUAUAUACUGUAUAUUUCCAAUUAACUCCAUUCUUAGGCUCAAUUUAAGAAACACAAUUGUAACAUUUUAUACAAAAAAUACUUCACUAAGAAAGUAGACAAACUGCACAAAACAGUAC